AUUGAACGCUGGCGGCAGGCUUAACACAUGCAAGUCGAGCGGUAGCACAGGGGAGCUUGCUCCCGGGGUGACGAGCGGCGGACGGGUGAGUAAUGUCUGGGAAACUGCCUGAUGGAGGGGGAUAACUACUGGAAACGGUAGCUAAUACCGCAUAACGUCGCAAGACCAAAGAGGGGGACCAUCGGGCCUCUUGCCAUCAGAUGUGCCCAGAUGGGAUUAGCUAGUAGGUGGGGUAAUGGCUCACCUAGGCGACGAUCCCUAGCUGGUCUGAGAGGAUGACCAGCCACACUGGAACUGAGACACGGUCCAGACUCCUACGGGAGGCAGCAGUGGGGAAUAUUGCACAAUGGGCGCAAGCCUGAUGCAGCCAUGCCGCGUGUGUGAAGAAGGCCUUCGGGUUGUAAAGCACUUUCAGCGAGGAGGAAGGUGGUGAGCUUUAUACGUUCAUCAAUUGACGGUACUCGCAGAAGAAGCACCGGCUAACUCCGUG
rnacentral:rRNA from 1 species